UAAAGGGAGAAAAAUAUUUAAGAAAUUUGUUUCAUAUCAUUUCAAAUGAAGUUUAUUACGAAGAAGGACUAAUGCUGAGUAUUAUGAUAAAGAAAUGUAAUCCUCCAUUUGGCUUAACAUUAUUUCAUAAAUUCUUAGUCACCAAAUACACAAUUUUUCAACUUUGCAGCGUAUUUCUCUCGAUUCACGUUUUCUUCCUGCAACUCAGAUUUUUGAGGACAGAAGAUUGAAGCUGGUUUAUUCUUUUCAACUUAUUCAUUAUAAUAUUAUAUAGUAUUAAUUUUGAAUUCAUAUAAGAAAUGGCGAAAUCACGGACAGAGAACUGAAAAUUAAAUAUAUUAAAUAUGAUUAAAAAUGAAUAAUUUGAAUGGACUGUAUUGCAUCACUUCGAUAAUUAAUACAAUUAUAUUACAGUAAUUAAAAUCUGUAUUAACAAUGCCGUUUUUAAUAUUUGAUAUGAA